UUUCAGAUUCAGAUACUGUUGUGUGUCAGCUCUAUUGUUAUGCCCCUUAUGGGCUUUUGAGGGGCCCCAGAUUCCCCGUUUAAGUGAUGUGAGGACUCAAAUAAGAGCAUUCAUAUACUUUGCCAAACUUGUAUCAUCUGGCUGCCAUCUUAAAGCGUGAGUCCUGAAGGAGCUAAUGUAGUGAAAGGUGUCGAUUCACAUGCUUGUACACUUUCCCAAGUGUCGCUUUUUGAUUGCAUCACCUCUCAUGUAUAUUGUGUUUUUUAAUGGAUGGUGGUUUUUAACAUGUUAUAAUAAAUAGAUUAUUUUUAUAUUA